UACGAAGGGGGCUAGCGUUGUUCGGAAUCACUGGGCGUAAAGCGCACGUAGGCGGAUCUUUAAGUCAGAGGUGAAAUCCCAAGGCUCAACCUUGGAACUGCCUUUGAUACUGGGGAUCUCGAGUCCGGGAGAGGUGAGUGGAACUGCGAGUGUAGAGGUGAAAUUCGUAGAUAUUCGCAAGAACACCAGUAGCGAAGGCGGCACUCUGGGCCGUGACUGACGACUGAGGAGGCGAA
rnacentral:rRNA from 1 species